rnacentral:lncRNA from 1 species
AUGGUGGAGAUGGAGGAAUGGAGUAAGGGUCCCAGGACCCCAAGGGGGCGCUGGAGUCCUCGGGGGAAUGAUGGACAGAGAAGAAAAGAUGGAAUCCUGGGAGUGGGUGGAGUCCUGAAGGAUGAGGGACAGAGUUGUGGAGUCUUGGGGGUGGGGCACUGUAAUCCUGGGGCAGAUGAUGGACAGAGAGGGAGAGAUGGAGUCCUGAGGGGGCGCUGGAGUCAUGGAGGGGAUGGUGGACACACAAAGAGAGAUGGAAUCCUGAGGGGGCGCUCGAGUUUUCCGGAGGAGAUGAUGGACAGAGAGGGAGAGACGGAGUCCUGAGGGGGCGCUGGAGUCCUGCGGAGAAGAUGACGGACAGAGGGGGCGCUGGAGUCCUGCGGAGGAGAUGAUGGACAGGAGUGGUCCUGAAGGGGGAACUGGAGGCAUGGCAGUGGAUGAUGGACAGGAAGGUGGAGGAGAGGUCCAGAGGGGCGCUGAAGUAACUUAAGGACGACGAAGUGGAGAGGAACCGACCUGGAGACUCUGGGAGGACCGGCAAGGUAUGAAGAGUACAUGCGACUUACAUGUAAUCCGCACAGCCUACACGUUUACAGGGUGUCACGGUGGGUAAUACUUUUAUUACCGUAGAGCAGUGAAACCUUCCAGAGCUUUUGACGUUGUCCAGCAGCGAGCUGUGCAUUCACGCUCUAGGCGGUUGAAGCGACCCUGUGAUGUGCUUCAAGGACCUUUAUCAUUGGAAAGUGGGUACCCAAGAGGCUUUGAUGAGGUGAGCUCUGGCAUCUAGCACCUCUAGCUUGGAGCUGUGUGUGCUGUUUCUCAAGAUGGACUUGGGAUAUGUAUAUGUUUUGCCACAAGAGGAGGCGGCUGCCAGGGCUGCGUGUGCAGCCGCUAUCACCUGCUGGUGUGUACAGGAAGUGUUGCCACACUGGCUGCUGCUUUGCCACACAUGAGAACUGUUGAUCAAAUGGCCG